AAAAAUUUGAGGGCUUGGUUGGCUUUUGGAGUAGUAGCUAACCUCACUUGGGCCCGCGUAUCACGUAAGCACCUCUGCGCCACUCAACCCCAUUUUUCAUCAAUGUCUUACUUAUUCAAUAUCAAAACAACUCGAUUUCAGUUUUUUGUCACAUGUGUUAAGAGCAGUAACCUGAUGGCCAUACGACCCUCGCCGAAAACAGUUUCAGUCAACUGAUGAUACUGGACUUCGACGGUACAUUCGUCAAGGUGUAAUUUAGGUGUUUUAAGUGUAGUUCAGAAAUAACGAAAACCUGUGCUAGAGUGAAAGGUUAGAAGUUUGCUUUAUUUUGAUUUUCAAAGCGAGCACACACAGUGAAAGCAUAGCCUACCGAUUCUUUUCAUCUAGAUGGUUUCUGGCAAGAGGUGUUAGAAAAGCUACUACAUAGAUAACUUGCUUGUAGCUUAUUGAGUUUCCAUAGUAACGUUGCUUUGUGGUUCUUUGAUGUCGGAUC
rnacentral:ncRNA from 1 species